GUUACCUUGUUACGACUUAGCCCCAGUCAUCGGUUUUGCCCUAGGACGCUCCUUUCGGUUACGUACUUCAGGCACUCCCGACUUCCAUGGCUUGACGGGCGGUGUGUACAAGGCCCGGGAACGUAUUCACCGCGCCAUGGCUGAUGCGCGAUUACUAGCGAUUCCGGCUUCACGGAGUCGAGUUGCAGACUCCGAUCCGAACUGAGACGCACUUUAGAGAUUAGCAUCCUGUCGCCAGGUAGCUGCCCUUUGUAUGCGCCAUUGUAGCACGUGUGUAGCCCAGGACGUAAGGGCCGUGAUGACUUGACGUCGUCCCCUCCUUCCUCACCGCUUGCGCGGGCAGUUCCGUUAGAGUCCCCGACGUUACUCGCUGGCAACUAACGGUAGGGGUUGCGCUCGUUAUAGGACUUAACCUGACACCUCGCGGCACGAGCUGACGACAGCCAUGCAGCACCUUGCAUUUUGUCCGAAGAAGUCCACCUUUCGGCAGAUGUCAAAAUGCAUUUAAGCCCUGGUAAGGUUCCUCGCGUAUCAUCGAAUUAAACCACAUGCUCCACCGCUUGUGCGGGCCCCCGUCAAUUCCUUUGAGUUUCAACCUUGCGAUCGUACUCCCCAGGUGGAUUACUUAUCGCUUUCGCUUAGGCGCCGACAGUAUGUCGCCGACACCGAGUAAUCAUCGUUUACGGCGUGGACUACCAGGGUAUCUAAUCCUGUUUGCUCCCCACGCUUUCGUCCCUGAGUGUCAGUAAUAGUUUAGUAAGCUGCCUUCG
rnacentral:rRNA from 1 species